CCUACGGGGGGCUGCAGUGAGGAAUAUUGGUCAAUGGCCGGAAGGCUGAACCAGCCAAGCCGCGUGAAGGACGAAGGUGCCAAGCAUUUUAAACUUCUUUUGUCAAGGGACAAAAUCAGGCUCGAGAGCCUGACCGAGGGUACUUGAAGAAAAAGCAUCGGCUAACUCCGUGCCAGCAGCCGCGGUAAUACGGGGCAUGCGAGCGUUAUCCGGAUUUAUUGGGGUUAACGGGUGCGUAGGCGGACUGUUCAGUCAGCGGUAAAAGCCCGGGGCUCAACCCCGGCGAGCCGGUGAAACUGGGUGUCUUGAGAUGUCGAGAGGUAUGCGGAAUGCGCAGUGUAGCGGUGAAAUGCGUAGAGAUUGCGCAGAACUCCGAUGGCGAAGGCAGCAUACCGGCGGCGAUCUGACGCGGAGGCACGAAAGCGUGGGUAUCGAACAGGAUUAGAUACCCUGGUAGUC
rnacentral:rRNA from 1 species